rnacentral:tRNA from 1 species
GGCCCCGUAGCUCAGUUGGAUAGAGCAUCUGCCUUCUAAGCAGAGGGUCGCAGGUUCGAAUCCUGCCGGGGUCGCCA